AUCCGAUUGACGAGUCUCAAAUAGGACGAAACGCGAGUCCUGGAU
rnacentral:hammerhead_ribozyme from 1 species